UGCAAACGUUACAGGAUUUCUGGGCGUAAGCGCGUGUAGGCGGUUUCGUAAGUCGGAUGUGAAAGCUCCUGGCUCAACUGGGAGAGGCCAUUCGAUACUGCGGGACUUGAGGACGGGAGAGGGACGUGGAAUUCCCGGUGUAGUGGUGGAAUGCGUAGAUAUCGGGAGGAACACCAGUGGCGAAGGCGACGUCCUGGCCCGCACCUGACGCUAAGACGCGAAAGCGUGGGUAGCGAACGGGAUUAGAUACCCCGGUAGUCCACGCUGUAAACGGUGGAUACUAGGUGUUGGUGGCUAUCGUCAUCAGUGCCGUAGCUAACGCGUUAAGUAUCCCGCCUGGGGACUACGGCCGCAAGGUUAAAACUCAAAGGAAUUGACGGGGGCCCGCACAAGCAGCGGAGCGUGUGGUUUAAUUCGAGGCAACACGAAGAACCUUACCUGGGUUUGACAUGUACGUAGUAGUGAAGCGAAAGCGGAACGAUCCUUCGGGAAGCGUACACAGGU
rnacentral:rRNA from 1 species